AUUGCAUUUCAUCUUUGAUA
rnacentral:miRNA from 1 species